UUUUUUUUUUUUUUUUUGGAAAGGUGAGAUAUAAAUAAAUUCAAAAAUGUAAACAGAAAAAAAAAAUAAAAAAAAAUGUAAACAGGUCAGCCAGAGCACAGAUGUGUAAAUACAAUGAAUGUCCCUUUCUAAUGAUUAAUCUUGAACUUCUUCCAACAGCAGUGUUACAGCUCAAAAAUAAUUUUAUUUGGGAAAUUCUCUUUUGAAAUGUCUUUAGAGACUUUGCCUAUCAAUCAUAGCAAAUCAUCCUUCUCUGAGGGUGGGUUAGAUCUUUAAAAAAAAAAUUCCUUGAACAAAUAAUUAUUAGGUGCUUACUAAGUGGCAGGCAGGAUACCAGGAGCAAGGAGCAAGACAGACAUGGUUUCUGCCUUCGAAGACAUUUAAGAUCAAAUCUGAGAUGAGCGUCUGAGCCCUGGAUAAUACCUUUACUGAUAAGAACAAGAUGUGACUGUACAGUGACAAUCUUAACUGCCUCAAAUGACAAUUUUAAAGAAGAGAUUUAAAACAUUUUGAGUAACAGCAGCAUCUCUGGAAUAACUCUCAAACAUACUACCUAGAAGACAAACACCGACUUUUUAUGCAUUCAGUAUAGUGUUAUGUGGUUUAUAAAAGAUUUUAUAUACCUUGUAUCACUCUCUUAUAGGAAUUCUAGAUUAUCAACUGGGUUGGAGUAACACAUACCUCUCCUGUAAAAUAACUGCUCUCUAGGUUUCUUCUGGUUCUGAAAGUCUGUAAUUCUCAUGUCUGUACCUCCAUACUUUCACACUGUAUCGUGGGUUCACUACUUUAGAAUAGCUCAUUGAGCUCAUUGUGACCUAUCUGGCUGGGGACCUUCCACCCAGAGAUGGGUGUCCAACGGCUUUUCCUGGGAGUGGCACGGGCUCAGCCUGGCUGGGCAUCUAGAAGCCUGGCAAGGGAUGGACUGGGCUCAUGCUCAGCCAUAAGGUGAGGAACAAAGGCUGAAGUUGAAGUCCAAGGUGAGGGAACUCUACUGGAAGCAUGGGAGGAUCUGAAAUGGCAGGUUCACAAGAUCAAGCAGAGCUAGAAUCAGACUCAAAGAAAAAUGUUGGCUAGACAGAGUAAAGAGGCUAAAGAGGCAGCACCUAGCAGGUUACCUUGAAGAAACAAGAUUUCUUUUCAUGGAUGCUAGGGACAGAAUCCAGAAGCCAUUAGAGUGAUAAGCCAAAAAUAUGAAAAAAAAGUUUUAAAAAUUGGCUCCCCCCCCCCACUUAAACCCAUCAGUGGUUAAACAGCAAAAAUAAGAGAAAAUGUAGCUCUGUUCUAAAACUUCACCUCAUCAGCUUUUCCAAAUAGUAGCUCAUUCUUAGAAGAAAAUGGAGAGUGUUUGUCAAAUAGAACAUCUUUGACAUUCUCCUGGUAAAACAUGUAUUUACAGUUUGAAAUUAUAUCUCAAAGUCUUUGGAUGCUCUUUGUCUAUAUCAAAAAUAACAUGUUUGUAAGCCCAAUUAUUAAGUAAGAUUAGAAUCUAAAAAUCUCUCUUCAGUGAAAAUGUAUACAUAGUAAAAAUUAAGAGGAGGUUUAAGACUUUGCUGCUCAUCACAGAGAAUUAAGUAGAGCAUUUGAGUAUCUCACUGCCACACAAAGAGAUAAAGUAACCUUUGAUGACCUUGACCACACACACACACACACACACACACAAAUGGGAAUGCAGGGGUAAGUAAAUUGUGAGAACAUUUCUAGGAGUUAUGGGUAUGACAGGGCCUCUUUGCAAAGACGUGUGUGUACUUUGGGCCCAAACCAUUUCACUGCCAUGAUUAGAGUUUAUACCUGUGUUUUCCCAGCACUGCUUUAUCCAUGGACAUAAGCAGACUAUUCCAGAUGGGAUGCAAAUACAGUGGAUGAAAUUAUGUACAACUCCUAGGCAAAGGAAGCUGCUAAUCCUAUUUUCGUUUUCUAGUUCUGGUUUGGUGUCAUUUUCACCCCGGGCACAUUUAGUAGCCAUGUUUCAAACUAAUCCAAAAAUUAGUGCCUGUUUUCCUGUUUAUUUUUCAGUCUUUUUCUAGAAGGUUUCUAAGGAUUUAGGUGUUUUUCUAGUCAGCCAUAUUCCAGAAAUUUAGCACCAAUAAGUCUGCUUGCAGGCCUUUUUGCUUUGCUGCUGUUGUUUUCUUUCCCUGAACAAAUUUAUAACAUUAGGUCUCACUUUAUCGAGAAGCUUUAUUUUCCAUCUGCUCUCCAUUUUUGCUCUAUUAUUAGGCUAUGCUUCUGGUAUUCUGAUCCUGCUUCAUUUCCAGGACUCUAGUUGACGUCAGCAGGGAACCUAGGCAGAGGAGGAGAGCAUAAUACUGGGCUUGACUCCACAGACUGUUUUGGGAAAAGCGUCUGGUCUCUUUGAGGUGGGACUUCCGUUGGAUGGACCCCCCUCUUCUUUUCCUACAGACAGUGGAGCCUCUGUAUCAUACUUAAUGCAACCACUGGUACAGGAUGAUGUACUUGCUCAACCACCCAAAUCUAUUGACUUUCUGUUAAAAGGCUUUUAACAUAAAUUUUAAGAGAUUAACAAAAUACAUCACAGACUAUUGCUGAGAACGCAGGGAUUUUAACUACGUUUCUCCUCCAUUGAUUUUAGUUAAUAUAUUUUAACCACCCCUUAUUUUACUGUACCUUUUAAUUUGUUAUUCAUUUGUUUGAAACCAGAACUCUGCUGAGGCACUCCGGACCCACAGGAACUGAAAUAGUUUGCCUUCAUUAUCUGGUAGACCUGCUCGAGUCUGUAGCCCCUGACAGAAACCACAAGACUGUACAAACUGGCAACUGUGGGUUUGUCUGUUCUCUAUUGAUUCUAUUUCUGGAAAAAAAAACAUGAACCAAUGGGUGAACCAUGUGACUGUACAACUUACCCAAAGCUCUCAUCAUAAAGGGGAUGGAGACCUUUUACAGACAGGUCAUGAUGGGACCUCGACACUUUUCUGUUUGCCUUUCAACCAUGGCCUUUGAAAGCUUUGACUUACAAGUUUAACUCCUUGUAUUCUGAAAUAUGAAAAUGCUAUAGAAUUAGAGUAUUCCAUAGCGUGUUAUUUAAAUUUGGUCCCAUUAUCCCAAACAUCUAAGGAAAUAUAUAAUAUAGACUUGAUAUAACUUUGCUUAUAAAGUAUCUUAGUUCUUUCUUCCAGUGUGAAAAUUAUAAGGCAACUCCACCAGAAAAUUUCAAAAGAGAAUAAUAUUCACAUCCUUUUCAGACUAGAUAGCAUUUAUAGCAACUGAUACAGCAUUUCCUUCUCUCGAGAUUUAGUAUCGGUGUUAUUAAAUACCAAUACUCAAGUAAGUAGAAUGCAUGACUUCUCUAUGGUAUGGCCCUAAUGAAAGGGUUCUGGUUUGGGCUGUAACAAGCUGCAUAUCCUUGCUCUCUCUCUCUCUCUCCUUCUCCAUUACAUGUCAAAUGACCAGAAGAUUUCUAAUGCCUGUUCUAGUUUUAAGAUUAAAAGUGAAUAAAACACCAGAGAGAUCCAGGUAGUGGAGAACACAUCCUAUGAAACACACACACACACACACACACACACUCACACACAGAACAGAAAAACCAAAAUAGCUCCCCACUCCUCCUCCCCCAACAAUGACAAUGCAGCCAUCUGUUGGACGUUCCAUUUCACUUAGCAGCUGCUCUCAGAUACAGAAAUCUGCAUUCCUCAGGCUCGUGCUGGUAUGCAUGCAGCAUGUGUGGGUACUAGCAUUUGACUCUCCCACCCAAAGGAAUGGCUUUCAUUGAAUAAAAAUGAUCACAGAAGGUUUCUUACUCUCCCAUCACAUAUAAUGCCUUUUUCCUGAUAAUAGGCAUUUGGAACUAUCUCUGCUCCUCUGUGUAUUAAAAUAAAUUCUCUUAGAGAUAUUCACAUUAAACAAUCAUCCAAAAUUAAAGAGAACAACCAGGAAAAGGCUUCAGUGAAGCUCUUGUCUUGCCAGAAACUUUCGCUUUGAAAGAGAAUGCAAGAGGUUGGAAUAUAAAGUUCCAUUCCACUUUUAUUUUGUCAAUACCCCCAACAUUGCACUGAAGCACUGAGAAAUGGUGGUGUUUAAAAGGGAACCAGGAGGCUUUCAAAAGCAGCAAUGAUCUUACAACAAACUAAAUGAAAAUACAGAAGAUGAAUCUCCAAAAGGGACCAAAAAAAAAAAAAAAGAAAAAAU
rnacentral:lncRNA from 1 species